GUCACCACCUCUGCCCCCAUAAGAACAUGCUAACUGAACUUCUCCACAUUCUUUCCUUUCCCUUGUGUGUAGCCGACCCUCAGAGCCCCAAAGACUUUGGAAAAAAGUUCCAGAGCAUCACUACGGAGCUUGCUAGAAAGAAUCUUGAAUCACAAUGAGAAUGUAGCCAAAGUUCCUACCAGUGGAAACCAAGGCAUUAUCUUUUGUACUAUUUUUCUUCCUCAUUGCCACUUUAUCAUCUACUCUGAUAUCUGAAGACUUCCCACAAGGCCCUGAGGACUGGAUCAGGCCAAGCAAAAACCGCAAGAAAGAAAGAGAUAGCUGGAAGAAAGCACGUGUCACACGCUUGGGAACUGGCUAGUGCCUCUCACUGCCUCAGCUUAUUCGCAGCCAGUAGGUCUGGCGGUUUCUACUGGCAGAGGUCUGUGCUCCAAUCUUCACUGGGGGUAGGAGUUGCCUUACGGUCAGACUGCGGCCGUCCGCAACGGCUCAGACGGUCACAGGGAUCACCGUUCAUCAUGACUUGGCCGGCUGGCCCCAUGUUCUGACUGGGGAGGUUGAGCACCCUGGGUGUGCCUCACAAUCUAUUGGCUUGCAGUUACAUCAGCCCUAUUCUGAUUGGCUACACCCAGUUACGGAAGCCAUUACAUCAUUACAGAUGCAUUGUUGGCUAAGUAUACCAUUCCUGAUCAAUACAUUCCAGAACUUUUGAACCUUUCUAAACUUGUUUAUGACUUUGGGGGGAGGGUAGCAGGUGUUUAUCUCUUUUGAGAGAGGAACCUAUAUGCUAAUACUUAAUAGGGUAUACAUGUAUGAUUUUAAUUAAUUUUGGAAAAAGUAGUUACAAGGAAAAGAACAAUUUUGGUGGGAAAGCUUAUUUACCAUUUUUUAAGUACAGCAAGUAGGUUUUUAUUUGUCCUUGUUAAAAUGUAGGAUGUGGCGUCCUUUAAUCACACACAGCUGGUUAGUGACAAAGCUAGGAUUCAUAUCCAAGCAGUCUAAAUGCAGAAUCCACAUUCUUACCUACUAUAUUAUAUUGCCACCCUGCUUGGAAC
rnacentral:lncRNA from 1 species